rnacentral:rRNA from 1 species
GACGAACGCUGGCGGCGUGCUUAACACAUGCAAGUCGAACGGAAAGGCCCUGCUUUUGUGGGGUGCUCGAGUGGCGAACGGGUGAGUAACACGUGAGUAACCUGCCCUUGACUUUGGGAUAACUUCAGGGAAACUGGGGCUAAUACCGGAUAGGAGCUCCUGCUGCAUGGUGGGGGUUGGAAAGUUUCGGCGGUUGGGGAGGGACUCGCGGCUUAUCAGCUUGUUGGUGGGGUAGUGGCUUACCAAGGCUUUGACGGGUAGCCGGCCUGAGAGGGUGACCGGCCACAUUGGGACUGAGAUACGGCCCAGACUCCUACGGGAGGCAGCAGUGGGGAAUAUUGCACAAUGGGCGGAAGCCUGAUGCAGCAACGCCGCGUGCGGGAUGACGGCCUUCGGGUUGUAAACCGCUUUCGCCUGUGACGAAGCGUGAGUGACGGUAAUGGGUAAAGAAGCACCGGCUAACUACGUG